UGUUGGGGUCGUGCCCCCUACAGAGAACCUGAUAUAGACAUUAAUCCGGGGGUCGGGACACACACAGAGUAUUGAACCUGGGAUGUAGACCUGUAUCAGCGUCCGCCCAGUCACCUGCAAGCAUGGCGUACUUGGGUAAAACGAAUGUAUUCUGCGAUGAUGGCGACCUCUACAGCACUUUCCCUUUCCCAUCGUGGAGAUCCUAUCAACGUCAGAACGUCAGUGAGCCUGUACACAGUGGACCUCUUCAAGGCACUCACACCAGACCAGGAUCUCUUUCCCUCAAACAGGGGGUCGGGUUUCUGUGGGGGUGCCCAGCUCCGGGGCGUGAUACUGCCUCUCAUCUCAGUAUCUACACACAUGCCCUGUCAGACUUGCCCUGGACCAACAGGGCGAUAACAUCAUUGAGAGCAGGUCAUUCGUGCUUACAGGAGAUUUGUACAUCUCAAUUGCUGAUCCUAAUGGCUAUUCUUUUUAUUCAAGAUGUCGUCCAGUGUGCUCGACCUCUGCACGCAGUAACACUUGAGCACUUGCAACAACCAGCCAUUGUUCGUCUGUGCAAACCUGCAUAUAUCCUAAGCCUAUAAAACUAUGGCGCGAAAGAUGCUUACACAGUUCGCCAUUGAAACUGCAACGUAAUUUAUUCUCAUAUCGCAAUCGUUUGAAAAUACAUUUACAAAAUGGAUGACGUAUAUACCCAAAACGUUUGAAAAUACAAUAUGGAUGAUAUGUAUGUACCGUAAGCUUUUGAAACUAGAACGUUAGGCCACUUUUUGAAAAUAUGAGUUCAGGACAAUACCCAGUCGUAUCCAACAGACAGGUAUUAUGACGACGCAGGACACCACGAAGAUGGCCCAUUACACUUCAUAGCUAUCUAAAGCGAAGACU